UAUAUAUACGCAAAGGAUAGAAUGGAAUAUUUCCUUUAAGAAGAAUAAAAUAUGCUCGAUGAUCUUGGACCUCUAUUCCCAAAAGAUAUAUUGUACCAAGAGCGAAGUGGUGGCAAACUAGCAAGAGUUGAUGUGGAUGAAUUUUAACCCAUUCUAGAUAAACAUGGGGAAGGUGGAGGGAGCAUAGAGAAAGUUUGGAAGUCAGCUGAAGAUGUUAGAGAUGCAAAACCAGAGGUGAGUAGAGCAAAAUCAUGAAAGUUUUGACUCUAAUGGCGAGGAUAUAAAAAUUACCUGGACAGUAAAUGGUGGUAUUAAUAAAUUCAUGCCUUCUGUAAUCCUUGGGACCCUCUUAAUUUUUUCGUCUUGUUCCUCCUUUUCAACAACUGGCUAAUUCUUCUUUCCAGAUAAGGGAGGAUGAGGGUUUGGCUGGCAGUGGUCAAGGCGGAUAGUAAAAUGCAAAAAAAAAAAAGGAAGUUGGGAGUGUUGUCCUGGUCAUUCUCUUCUCAUUAACCUGCAUAGCAUAAUUAAAUGGUUCUCACCAUUCAGAUCUCAACUCUAAGUUCACUCCCUCAAUGUGACAAGUGACUAGGUCUCUAUAACUUGCUGUAUGAAUUCUAACAUUCUGUCAUUGCAAAGGCAAUGAUCUAUUAUAGGAUGAUCUAUUAUAGUUACAGUUUGUAUUUUGGGUAACCUUUUGACCAAUGUCUUUCUGCCUCUUUAGUCAAUAUGCUCUUUGAGAGUAGAAAGCAUGCUUCUUCUGCUUAGCACCUCAUGUAACACCGGACUUAUAGUAGGUACCCAAAUAUUUUUGAACAAAAAAAUGAAUGUAGCAGUGAAAUUCCAUGAGAAGCAUUUAGACUUGUUUUUUAUAAUGUAUAAACUUUUCUAUUGAUAAAGUACUGAAUAAAAUUGAAAAUAUAAAUCUCCCAUACUCAGAAUGGAACUUGAAAGUAUGGUCAGAGAUGACUGAUGAACAGAAUUUCUUUUAAUUUAAACAUUUCUUUUUUGCUUGUUGUGGUUUCCAUUUUAUCUAAAUAAAAGUGAUAAUUCAACUUACAUGUGUAGUUUCAAAAUAAAUAAAUUGCCAUACUCUAAAAAGUAUUAAAAAGGAAUGUAGAAUGAGACAAUAAAUGAAUCGAGAGUGUAACUUGGAAAAGUGUUCACAUUUAGGGUAAUGGAGAAAAAAGAUAACAGUUGGAAAGGAGAUAAGAAAGAAAUAUUAAACAGUGAAUAUAAUAACAAGACAAUUGUGUAACAUCAUUAAUCAAAGAGGAAACAUCUGAGAUCUUAUUAACUUCACAAAAAGGCAAAGAAAAUAAGUGUUCAUUGAGCACCUGCUACUUGCUGUGCUUUGCAAGCAGUUUAGUAUAACUUAUGUCUCAUGAUUACUAUUCUUUUUUUUUUAUCAGAUGAGGUAGCCACUUGUGAGAAAACUUAAAUAAUUUGCUUGCUGCGAUAAAGCGAGUAGACUAUGAAUUUUAAAGUCAGACUUAGGUUCAACCAGAACUCAUUGUCAUGGACAUUCUAUCUCUUUUUAAAGACUAUGCAGUUCUAUAAUAUUUCAAAAAACUUAAUAAAAUCCUUAUCAACUCCUGUAAGAACAACACUUCCAAAAAAGGAUAUACAGCUGCUGUGUUUAUAGAGAUUCAUAGGAAAAUAAAUAGAUCAACAGAAGGUAAUUUACUGUGUGGAAACUUGGAAAGGAAAGGGCCUGUGCCUCAUUCCUUUCCUACUGGGGAAGCUUAGGAAAUGAGCAACCUCAACCAGUUCUCAUUUGUAAACAUGCUAUUAACCUUGGCCCAGCAUCUCUUACUAACCUGAUACUGUACUUACAUAGAAAAGAGGAGUCCCAGGGCCGGACGUGGUGGCUCAUGCCUGUCAUCCCAGAACUUUGGGAAGCCAUGGUGGGUGGAUCACUUGAGGUCUGGAGUUUGAGACCAGCCUGGCCAACAUGGCGAAACCCUAUCUCUACUAAAAAUAAAAAAAUUACCUGGGUGUGGUGGCACAUGCCUGUAAUCCCAGCUACUCAGGAGGCUGACACAGGAGAAUCACUUGAAUCCAGGAGGCAGAGGUUGCAGUAGUGAGCGGAGAUCUCGCCACUGCACUCCAGCCUGGGCAACAGAGUGAGACACUGCCUCAAAAAAAAAAAAAAAAAAAAAAAAAAAAAGGAGUCCUUAUGUAAUAAAUAGUUAUAUCAGGAUAUAUCCAGUAUCCAGACAGCCCAGAUUGCAAUAUUGUAAAUGAACCUGCCAUUGUCAAUUUAUGCUGCAGGGCUGCCUGGAGACUGGGAGCUAGUGAGUUGUACAAUUAACAGAGUAUAAAAAGAUGUUUCCCCCAAAUUAAAGUGGAAUCUUUUGUGAGCUAUAUUCUUAUGUAUCUGUUCCAAAAAAUUCUGUUAUUCUGAAAACAAAAGGUGUUCUAAGAAAAAAGAAAGUGGACAUUUUGACGUGUUGUUGUCUGACAGUUUCAGCCUCUUCUAGGAAAGGCUGUUUCAUCUGUAUUUGUUUGCGGUAUUAUUAGUAAAGAUUGGUGCUGGGUAAUAGCUGUGAUUACUACGAAUCUGCUUUGAGGAUUUAAAUGUUUGUGCUAUUACAGAAAUCAAAAGGAAAAGUGAAGAGGAGAGAGAAUACUGACAAGAGGGGAGAUGGCAGGACAAAUAUCCUAGGAGUCCUGCUUUCCAUGAUCAGCUAAGUAUACACAGGUGAAGCAUCCAAAAAAUGUUCAAUAAAAAUGUUUAAAAGCAACUCAUUAGGCUGACAUUUCCCUUAUAUACUCUGUGUAAAUGUGAGCCUUUUAAGUACAAAUAACUUAUUUGAUGGGAAAUUUAGUUAUUAUAUUAAAAUUAAAUGUUUACUCUGCAUAUGCAAAGCUUUCCAGUGACUUCCAGAAAUAACAUACUUGCUCGCAAUAUGUGACUCUGGUAAUGAAAAUAAGUUUUUAAAAUAAUAUCUUCCUAUAAGUGAGAUUCUCCCAAUACUUGAGUUUAACACUCUGCAGGCAAAACUUUUCGAAACUUCAGGGUCAGUUUAUUUUGAUGACUAAGGAACUAACCCUUCUAUAAGAACGGAAUUAUUCCAGAAGUGUAAAACAGAUGUACUUCCAAAUAGCCAACAUAGUAAAGAAAUAAGCACAUAAAUGUCAGGGAGAUUACCAAAUUCUAGCCAUAGCAAUGUGAUUCUUGAUGUUAACUAGUUUAUAGAAAAAUGAACUCAGUUUAUUUUGUGCUAAAUAGUCUCCUAAUCUUUGUUUAAAAUCAUUAACCAAUUUUAGAUUUAAAAAUCCCUAUAGAGCUAUUCCUGCCCUCCCUACCACUCUUCAGCUGUGCAUGAUGUAUAAAUGCUUUCAUCUGAGAAACACCUCAGUGGCAAAACCAUUUGCAAUUCACAGCAUCUGCCUUAAUGGUUUAUUACUGGGGGCUAAUAUUUAAAACAAUUGCUAUUUUGUGCAGUGCUUUACUACACCACUUGGAAUGUUUCUCCUGAUAGAUAAGUAAAGGGACAAUUUUCAGUAUCUCUACUUUAACUCCAGGGUCCCCAAAAGUGAAUUUGGC
rnacentral:lncRNA from 1 species